UGUUAAAAAUUUCAUCCAUUUUUACUAUUGAAAACUAGCGUGAUUAAAAAAUAAUUAGAUAGUUACAUAUGGCGUGCGACGUUUGACGUAUAAGACUAAUUUUUAAUAGUAAAAAUAGAUAGAAUUUUUAAUC
rfam:Gossypium arboreum cultivar AKA8401 contig_849_3, whole genome shotgun sequence.